ensembl:lncRNA
CCAGUGUUCUGUACCCACAGUCAUCAGUUCUUAUAACUUUACACUAAUCCAGUGAUCUCUCCCCACAGUCAUCAGCUGCUGUCACACUUGGCUUCUGGAAGCAUUCCUUGCAACAUCAGUCUGGAGACAUUUGCCUGUGCGGAACUCUCACAGCUCUCAGGAUUCACUGCACAACACCUGGCCCAGCUCCUGGUGUGCAAGCUGUCCAGCAACAUGACUUACUCUAGGGAGACCUGGAAGCUGCUCCUCACCAAAACCUCUGCAGUUCUGGAUGAAGCUCUCAUCAUGGUCUCCCACGUGGUCUCCAACAAGUCACUGGCAAUUGGCGGUCCAUCCAUAACCAAUGUCCUGGACGUGCUCGGAGAGAUCCGAUUGGACAGGAUUGCCUCAGGGGAAUGGAGCAACAUGGACUUCAUCUCCGCACUGUUUGGUGACGGCCUGCGUCCAUUCUUAUCCUCCGCCUCAGGAAGCCUUCUGCAGUGUGUCAGCAGCAAGAACCUCACAUGUCAAACCUACCAGCACAUAGUGGGAGAGUUCAGUCAGCAGUUUGACCACAUCCCUGAGCCACGCAAGGAGGGCUUCGUCGACUUCUUCAUCAAAACGUUCCUGGCCAAAAACACCUCAGAUUCAGCGUGCAGGUCUAAUGACAGUGUGGGAUGGCUUCUCAACAACUUUGGCCGAUUCUCCGUCUUUGUGCCUCUCAAGGGUCUUCUCACACUUAAUAACCUCUUCGAUCCAGUGGCAGCCUUGGACUAUCUCUCCCCCAGACAGUUGGCUGAGCUGGUUGUUCUUCCUGACCUUCCCAACAGAGAUGAGGCCAUCCACAAAGUGUUUGACACCUUGACACAACCUCCGCGUGCCACAGACCUCCCUGAGUUCCUCCGCCAUCUUAUGAUGCUCUCUGAAGAGGUGAUGGUUCCAUGUGACUCAUAUAGAACCAUCUUUGGGAGGCUCUAUCUGGCCUUGUCAUCUGUUCCCGGCGAGACUGAGCCGCUGGUCUGGGCAGCCAUACGCAAACUGAUGCAGACCGCUCCAGCAGAUUGCAUGCCUGAAACUGGAAGGUGUCCUGUGAUCAUGGUAAACGAGACCAUGAUGUGUGCCGGAGUGAACAGCUCUGAACUACAGCACCAUCUAGAGACUGGAGCAGGAAUUGAAGUCCUUUGUGGCUUCAGUCUAGAGACUUUUGCCUGCACAGAACUGACAGGAUUCACUGCACAACACCUGGCCCAGCUCCUGGUGUGCAAGCUGUCCAGCAACAUGACUUACUCUAGGGAGACCUGGAAGCUGCUCCUCACCAAAACCUCUGCAGUUCUGGAUGAAGCUCUCAUCAUGUUCUCCCACAUGGUCUCAAACAAGUCUCUGUCUAUUAGCGGCCCCUCUGCGUCCGCGGCCCUGGAUGCUCUCAGGGAGAUACGGCUGGACAGGCUGACCCCUGAUCAGUGGCAGCAGGCUAACCUCACCACAGCUCUGUUCAAGGACAGCCUCGCGCCGCUCCUGCCCUCCGCCUCGCCAGACUUCCUGCGCUGCCUCGCCAAAGACCUCAGCUGUGGGACGUACCAGCACAUGGUGACUGUGUUCAGCCAUGGCUUCGAUCUCAUGGAUGAGGGACGCAGAGAGACUGUUCUGAACGAUUUCAUCAUGGUCUACCUGUCCAACACCUCAGCAUGCUUCUCCAAUGACAGUGUGGAAUGGCUGCAGAACAACCUCGGGCGAUUCUCAGGCCUUUUGAGCCUCGGUGACCUGUUCCAACUCAACGCACACUUCCGUCCACUGUCAGCACUGGAGUUCCUGUCUCCACGUCAGACGGCGGAGCUGAUGGUCCGUCGCUUCCCUGGCCUCCCGGGGCAGGUCGAGGUCAUCAACGUCGUCUUUGACCGCUUGACCUCAAAUGGACAGAAGCUUACGGAGGUCCUUCACCACCUGGUCGCACUCUCCAAACAGGUCAUGAUACCUUGCGACAGCUAUGAAGCCCUCUUUGAGAGGCUUUAUAAGGUCUUGCCCUACGAGCCUCGGAGAUCGAGCCUCUCAUUUGGGCCACGAUAGACGACCUGAUGCAAACAUCACCCAGAGACUGCCUGCCAGUGGACCUG